rnacentral:rRNA from 1 species
UACGUAGGGGGCAAGCGUUGUCCGGAUUUAUUGGGCGUAAAGAGCGUGUAGGCGGCCAUACAGGUCCGUUGUGAAAACUGGAGGCUUAACCUCCAGACGUCGAUGGAAACCGUAUGGCUAGAGUCCGGAAGAGGAGAGUGGAAUUCCUGGUGUAGCGGUGAAAUGCGCAGAUAUCAGGAAGAACACCCGUAGCGAAGGCGGCACUCUGGGCCGAUACUGACGCUGAGGAGCGAAAGCGUGGGGAGCGAACAGG